GUUCUUAGGACUCUCUCUCUCUCCUUUCAGAGUUAACUGAGAUGAGUCUUUAUGGAGCUUGGGCUGGCAACUGAUUAAGUGAUAACUUGGUGAUAAAAAAAAAAACACAGCUGGCAUUCCAUAGAUCAGAUGUGGUGUGUGUCACCGAGAUGGCCAGGAGGAACAGAACAAAGGCCUCACUAGUCCUAAUUAUCCAGGCAUCUGGGAAACAGCACGAGAGGCAGAUGACCAGAGGAAACCCCAGUGGCUUAUAGUACCUCCAAUGUAUAUGGGAGAGGUGGAACCAAGCAUUCUGGGUAUCAGCUAUAUAAACUGUGCACUGUCUGUAAAGAGUAGGCUCUCAGCCCAACAGUCAAGACUUUUGUGUCGACGGUUUCAGUAUUGCAAUAAUUAAUCAAUAUUGACUAAAGAUGAUUGUUUGAAGAAAUGACAAAGUCUCUGUCACUCUCUACAUAUAAUAUUCCACCAUACAAUACUGCAUGUUGGUGAUACAACAGCUAAAGGGGAAGUAAUCGUGGAAGUGAUGAAGUCCAAGUGUGCCUAAUGGGGUGCAGGUGUACGUAAUGAUGGGUGCUAGGUGUGCGUAAUGAUAGUUUGCCAGGACUGGUGGUUAGUAGACCGGCAACGUCAAGCCCCAGAGCGGGAGUAGACGUGAUAGAACCCCCACCGACGCGUGGCUCCAGCCACAGGAGGAUGGCCCCGAAGGCGAGGAGCGGGCCGGUCGGCGAAGGUGGAAAUCUCGGAUGAUGUUGGGAUCUAGAAUGUCAUCCACCGGAACCCAACAGCACUCCUCUGGACCAUACCCCUCCCAGUCCACCAUAUACUGGAAGUGACCCCCAUGACGUCGGGAGUCCAGGAGGGAUCUGACGUCAUCUGACGGGCUUCCUUCGAUGUCCAGGGGAGGUGGAGAGGUGUCGUGGGAGAUGGCAUAAGCCAGGAGACCAGAAACCCCCAUGCUGAUGAGGGAAACAUGAAAAGAGGGUGAGAUAAGGACCUGAGCCCUAGGACCAUGCCUCAAGACUACCUGGUAUGAUGACUCCUUGCUGUCCCCAGUUCACCUGGCCGUGCUGCUGCUCCAGUUUCAACUGUUCUGGCUGCGGCUAUGGAAUCCUGACCUGUUCACCGGACGUGCUACCUGUCCCAGACCUGCUGUUUUUAACUCUAGAGACAGCAGGAGUGGUAGAGAUGCUCUUAAUGAUUGGCUAUGAAAAGCCAACUGACAUUUUACUCCUGAGGUGCUGACUUGCUGCACCCUCAACAACUACUGUGAUUAUUAUUAUUAUUUGACCAUGCUGGUCAUUUAUGAACAUUUGAACAGCUUGGCCAUGUUCUGUUAUCUCC
ensembl:lncRNA